GACAGAGGGUGCUAGCGUUGUUCGGAAUUACUGGGCGUAAAGGGCGCGUAGGCGGCUCGUUUAGUCGGGUGUGAAAUCCCGGGGCUCAACCCCGGAACUGCAUUCGAUACUGGCGGGCUAGAGACCGGAAGAGGUGGGUGGAAUACCCAGUGUAGAGGUGAAAAUCGUAGAUAUUGGGUGGAACACCGGUGGCGAAGGCGGCUCACUGGUCCGGUUCUGACGCUGAGGCGCGAAAGCGUGGGGAGCAAACAGG
rnacentral:rRNA from 1 species